UACGAAGGGGGCUAGCGUUGCUCGGAAUCACUGGGCGUAAAGCGCUCGCAGGUGGUUCGAUGCGUCGUGCGUGAAAGACCCCGGCUCAACUGGGGAGUGUCGUGCGAUACGGUCGGACUGGAGGCCAGUAGGGGGAUGCGGAAUUCCGGGUGUAGUGGUGGAAUGCGUAGAGAUCCGGAGGAACACCAGCGGCGAAGGCGGCAUCCUGGACUGGUCCUGACACUCAUGAGCGAAAGCGUGGGGAGCGAUCCGG
rnacentral:rRNA from 1 species